AAUCCAUAGGUUAAUGAGGCGAACCGGGGGAACUGAAACAUCUAAGUACCCCGAGGAAAAGAAAUCAACCGAGAUUCCCCCAGUAGCGGCGAGCGAACGGGGAGGAGCCCAGAGCCUGAAUCAGCAUGUGUGUUAGUGGAAGCGUCUGGAAAGGCGCGCGAUACAGGGUGACAGCCCCGUACACAAAAGCGCAUGUGCUGUGAGCUCGAUGAGUAGGGCGGGACACGUGGUAUCCUGUCUGAAUAUGGGGGGACCAUCCUCCAAGGCUAAAUACUCCUGACUGACCGAUAGUGAACCAGUACCGUGAGGGAAAGGCGAAAAGAACCCCGGCGAGGGGAGUGAAAAAGAACCUGAAACCGUGUACGUACAAGCAGUGGGAGCCCCACCACCAAAGCAUUUGCUGUACCGCGUUGACGGAGCGAAGCGACGUCAAACCGAUAAAACAGCAGUGUAAAGUGAGCCGCAGGGCGCUUUGCGCGACAGCGCAAAGGCAGGCGGUUUCGCGUAGCGAAAGCGAAUGCUUUGGGGUGGGGUGACUGCGUACCUUUUGUAUAAUGGGUCAGCGACUUAUAUUCUGUAGCAAGGUUAACCGAAUAGGGGAGCCGGAGGGAAACCGAGUCUUAAUUGGGCGUUAAGUUGCAGGGUAUAGACCCGAAACCCGGUGAUCUAGCCAUGGGCAGGUUGAAGGUUGGGUAACACUAACUGGAGGACCGAACCGACUAAUGUUGAAAAAUUAGCGGAUGACCUGUGGCUGGGGGUGAAAGGCCAAUCAAACCGGGAGAUAGCUGGUUCUCCCCGAAAGCUAUUUAGGUAGCGCCUCGUGAAUUCAUCUCCGGGGGUAGAGCACUGUUUCGGCUAGGGGGCCAUCCCGGCUUACCAACCCGAUGCAAACUGCGAAUACCGGAGAAUGUUAUCACGGGAGACACACGGCGGGUGCUAACGUCCGUCGUGAAGAGGGAAACAACCCAGACCGCCAGCUAAGGUCCCAAAGUCAUGGUUAAGUGGGAAACGAUGUGGGAAGGCCCAGACAGCCAGGAUGUUGGCUUAGAAGCAGCCAUCAUUUAAAGAAAGCGUAAUAGCUCACUGGUCGAGUCGGCCUGCGCGGAAGAUGUAACGGGGCUAAACCAUGCACCGAAGCUGCGGCAGCGAACGUAUCACUUAAAGCGAUUCAGCGGGUUACGAUUGACGGAGCGAAGCGACGUCAAAGCGUAUACAAAGUCGAGUCGGUUUAAGGAUACGUUCGUUGGGUAGGGGAGCGUUCUGUAAGCCUG
rnacentral:rRNA from 1 species